rnacentral:rRNA from 1 species
CAGCAGCCGCGGUAAUACCGGCGGCCCGAGUGGCGGUCACUAUUAUUGGGCUUAAAGCGUCCGGAGCCGGGUUGGGAAGUCCUCCGGGAAAUCUGGCCGCUUAACGGUCCGAAUGCCGGAGGAUACUCCCAGCCUAGGGAGCGGGAGAGGCCGAGGGGAUUCCCGGAGGAGGGGGGAAAUCCUAUAAUCCCGGGAGGACCACCUGUGGCGAAGGCGCUCGGCUGGAACGCGUCCGACGGUGAGGGACGAAGGCCAGGGGAGCAAACCGGAUUAGAUACCCGGGUAGUCCUGGCUGUAAACGAUGCGGACUUUGUGUCGGACAAGCUAUGAGCUUGUCCGGUGCCGGAGGGAAACCGUUAAGUCCGCCGCCUGGGGAGUACGGCCGCAAGGCUGAAACUUAAAGGAAUUGGCGGG